UACGUAGGGUGCAAGCGUUGUCCGGAAUUAUUGGGCGUAAAGAGCUCGUAGGCGGUCUGUUGCGUCGGCUGUGAAAACCCGGGGCUCAACCCCGGGCCUGCAGCCGAUACGGGCAGACUAGAGUUCGGCAGGGGAGACUGGAAUUCCUGGUGUAGCGGUGAAAUGCGCAGAUAUCAGGAGGAACACCGGUGGCGAAGGCGGGUCUCUGGGCCGAUACUGACGCUGAGACGCGAAAGCGUGGGGAGCAAACAGG
rnacentral:rRNA from 1 species